GCGAAUCCGACUAAGAACCGUGAGAUUGCGGGUUCGGUUCCUGUCCCUGCUCAGUGGGUUGAUGAUCCGGCGUUGCCGUGAGCUGUGGUGUAGGUUGCAGGCGCGGCUCGGAUCCCGCAUUGCUGUGGCUCUGGUGUAGGCCGGUGGCUACAGCUCCGAUUCAACCCCUAGCCUGGGAACCUCCAUAUGCCACGGGAGCGGCCCAAAGAAACAGCAAAAAGACAAAUAAAUAAAUAAAUUUUUCUGUGUGUGUGUAUGUAUGAGACACCAUGCUGUACUCACCAAUUAUCUACGGUGUAGUCAAAUACGUUAUGAGCAUCUUGUCAGGUCAUUAAAUGUCCGUUCACUACCUUAGUUCUCAGGGCUAUCUAAUAUUCUACUUUAUGAUGGGGUUAUGACGCAUUUUUCUUUCAUUGCGAAAUAUUUAGGUUUCUAACUCCCAACGCCCAUGAACAAUCCCUUGGAAAUAAAAAUAGAAUCUGGGCAAUCAAAUAAAGUCUAACCUUUUCCUUUUCCUUUGUGCUGAGUCCAGUUUCGCUGGGUGGCUUGGAGCCUCAUGCAGAGGCCCGGCUCCUGGACCUUCAGACGGGCGUUCUUUGCACCACAACGCGGCACUUGCUGCUUCCACCCGCAGGCUGCGUGGGGAAGCACUGCGCAUGACACGCAAUUCAAGAUUCAAAAUGGCGGCAGUGGCUCGCGGGCAGCGACUGCGCACGACAGUUGGAGCCAGAGCCUGGGUGCCUCCCAGCUGCGGAUGUCCCGCGAGAACUCUGCGUCCUCCCCGAGACCCUGUUAAAAAGCCCCGCGCACAGCCUGUCGGGAGAGCGUGCUCUGCAGCACAAGCUCCUGUUAUCUCUUCGUUCUUUCCUUCGGGGGUGACGCUUUCUUUUGCGAACCUAUCUUGUUUAAUUGGCUCCAAGGACGCCAGGCGGAAGGACACUUGGAUAGGUUCGGCUCUAAGGAUGCCAUGGGCAUGGAUGCUAACAGAUAAGGAAAUAUUCAGCUGCAGUCAUUUUGCAAAAGGACCCACCGGUGAGGAAGCUGCUGAGGUUAGAACUGCUCAGGGCCCCACUGCGCACUGA
rnacentral:lncRNA from 9 species